GCAAAUUAAAAGGCAAAAUAUCUUCAGUUAAAUUUCUAGUUAAAGUGGAAAUGUUGGCAGAAUUUAAAAGAGUGCUAGUUGCCAAAGCCUGACUGCGCUAUCAACAAAAACGUGUGAAAUAUCUUCCUGUUCUGCCCUUGAUGUUAAUUCUGGUAGCAUCUGCAUUCUGGGGAGAGGCCUGGAGCUCAGCUUAAAUGCUGGUAAAGAGGCCGUCAAUGCUCAGUUUUAAAAUAUAUUUAUCAAGCAUUUUAUUUGGCUCACUACACUUUCUGUAAGUUAAUACUUCUAAUGGUGACAGUCUCCUUAGCUGUCACAUAACCACGUGUACCUCUGCAUGUGCUGUUGAUAUUUUGCUGAUUUGUGUAGGCCUGUGUCAGAGCUUGUUUUGGGAGAGGAGCUGGUGGACAGCGCUGUUUUGCACUGGUGGAGGGAAAGAACUGGAUGGAUGUGUAAAGCAACUGAUGGAAAAAUGGUAAAGAUGCAAAUGCAGUGAUCCCAGUGAUCACUCUAGGUCUACUUUUCUGCCUUCCUUUCCAAACCAUUAAAUGGCAGAGGAAAAUAUGUUCUGGGAGCCAGAAGUGUAGCUGGAGAAGAGGGUUUCACAGGGGAACUGUCACUUCAGUUUUACAUAGCUGGACUCUCACCUCCAGAGCAAGCAACAUGGUGCGUCCACUUUGCUGUCCCUGGCAUGUGUUACACAGAGUCACAGAAUCAUAGAAUGCUGUUGUUUGUUAUCUUUGUUAUCCCCAGCGCAGUUUUGGCUCAUCUUCUGCGGCUGUAAUCUGUAAUUUUGACUAAUGACUGACCACUAGUAAGUAGCACGGUUCAGUUUAUAACCUUUGGGUCUUGGUUAGCAAUCUAUGAUCGUACAUAGAGGGCUCCCGCUAUUAUCCCACAUCUGUAUUCACCUACAUUGUGCUUUAUGCUGCAGUCAAAUGUAGUUCAUUC
rnacentral:lncRNA from 1 species